rnacentral:lncRNA from 1 species
AAACUUCUGAAGCCCAGGGUUCCUGUGUGGGAGCCGGGAGUCUUGGUGAGGAAGACGGGAGGUGAGGACUGUGUUAUUUACUUCAUCCUCUUUUUUUGCUGACAUCCUUUGGUCUCCAGAGUUCGGGGGUCUGGGAAUCAAACUCAAAGUUCUUUGUGGACCACACAAGCAUCUAUCACCGAGCUACAUUUCUCAGCCUUUGUAUGUUUUCUUUCCUGCAAACCAUUUUAUGCAUUUAGUCCCAGAAAGCCUCAGCUAAACUUGUAGGCACUUUAGCAUUCAUAUUUACUGUCACUAUGACAACACAUCUCACAGAACCUCUAUUCCUCUAGCUUUUAUGCCUUAAUGGCUUGCUAUUUAUUCUGAUCAUGGAUAUAAU